rnacentral:rRNA from 1 species
GGCGAACUAUGUGCCAGCAGCCGCGGUAAUACAUAGGUGGCAAGCGUUAUCCGGAUUUAUUGGGCGUACAGGGUGCGUAGGCGGUUGUGUAAGUUUGAGGUUAAAUCCCGGAGCUCAACUCCGGUCCGCCUUGAAAACUACAUGACUAGAAUGCAAGAGAGGUAAACGGAAUUCCAUGUGUAGCGGUAAAAUGCGUAGAUAUAUGGAAGAACACCUGUGGCGAAAGCGGUUUACCAGCUUGUUAUUGACGCUGAGGCACGAAAGCGUGGGGAGCAAAUAGGAUUAGAUACCCUAGUAGUCCACGCCGUAAACGUUGAGUACUAGGUGUCGGGAAUUAUCUCGGCGCCGCAGCUAACGCAUUAAGUACUCCGCCUGAGUAGUAUGCACGCAAGUGUGAAACUCAAAGGAAUUGACGGGGACCCGCACAAGUGGUGGAGCAUGUGGUUUAAUUCGAAGCAACACGAAGAACCUUACCAGGGCUUGACAUCCAGUGCAAAGGCAUAGAGAUAUGCUGGAGGCUAACAUUGAGACAGGUGGUGCAUGGUUGUCGUCAGUUCGUGCCGUGAGGUGUUUGGUUAAGUCCAGCAACGAACGCAACCCUUGUCAUUAGUUACUAACAUUCAGUUGAGGACUUUAAUGAGACUGCUAGUGUAAGCUAGAGGAAGGUGGGGAUGACGUCAAAUCAUCAUGCCCCUUAUGUCCUGGGCUACACACGUGCUACAAUGGCUGAUACAAAGAGUCGCAAUCUCGCAAGGAGGAGCUAAUCUCAUAAAAUCAGUCUCAGUUCGGAUUGAAGGCUGCAACUCGCCUUCAUGAAGCCGGAAUCACUAGUAAUCGCGAAUCAGCUAUGUCGCGGUGAAUACGUUCUCGGGUCUUGUACACACCGCCCGUCACACCACGAGAGUUGGUAACACCAGAAGCAGGUAGUCUAACCGCAAGGAGGACGCUUACCAAGGUGGGAUUAGCGAUUGGGGUG